GGGGAUUUAGCUCGGCGGCAUAAGCGCCUGCCUUGCAAGCAGGCAGUUGUGAGUUCAAUCCCUG
rfam:Cavia porcellus supercont2_40 genomic scaffold, whole genome shotgun sequence.